UGUCCGUGUUUUUUUUCCAUGAACCAUCUGUUGUUUCCGUUUCUUUCACAUUUCUUUUUUUCGGUUUCCUCUUCCCACCAUUACGUGACUUUUUUCUCUUUUUAUCUCAUUAUUUCUUAUAUAAAUAUAUUAUGAGUUUCCUAUUUAUUUAACUUUACAAAAUGCGCUUACGUCCUCUGUGUACCGUAUGUGAGUCUAUACUUAUGGUUGGUGCUCAUACAAGUAAGCAUAACUUGCAUUUUUUAAAUUUUUUAUCUUCCACUUUUUCUUAUAAACAAAAAAUAAUAAAUAAUAAAUAAAUUAUAAGUAUCCUAUUUCUUUUACUUUCCAAAACGCGCUCACACCCUCCAUGUCCUAUAUGAUAGUUCAGACUAAUGAUUUGUGCUCAUACAAAUAACCACAAUUCGCAUUUACCAACCCAUGGGCACAAUUGCUAGCACUAAACAAAAAUUGUUAAUGGUCUACCUUGGAUCGGUGAGACGCGCAAAAUCUAUAUAAUACCGGAGUAAGUGAGUACUUUGUCGACAUAUUCUUAGGUCUUAUUAUUUUUCUCUUCCUAAGUAUAGUUUGAUAUAUAUUUUUUUUAUAGUUUUUUGUAUUUCUAUUUUUCCUAGCAAAAACUCAGACACGUGAUGGAUCGCACGUUUGUGUCCUGGCAAGAGAAAGAAGAGCCACUUAGCAUUGGAGGUCACAGUUCCAAGAGAGAAUUCACUGACAAAUAGGCGUAUAAGAGGGUUUGAGUUGAUGGUCACAACAUGGCGAUGAUGGUGGUCGAGACAACAUGGGAACCGCUCGUCGGGGCAAUGGGAAUUUGCGUAGGGCUAGCGGCGGGGGCGUCGUGCUAGAGUGGUAGGCAGAAGUCUUGUGGUUAGGGUAGAACGUCAUGGGAGGUUGGUGGGGUAGUGAUCCUAUGUGAGAUGCCGACUGUGGAUGCUAGAAGCCUAAUAGCGAGGGCAGCAGCUGAGGGGUGCAUGAGGCAGUGUACACUGUACACAAAGCGAGAGCAUGAUUAGAGACAACAUCGGUAAGGAGGAAGAAGGAUAAUGCAGUCUCCAACCACGCGACUCUUCUCCCGUAGCAAUGCACUCGUAUAUUUCCUACUUAUACACAUGAAUACUAAUAAUUUAUUAUAUAUAUUUGGUU
rnacentral:lncRNA from 1 species